rnacentral:rRNA from 1 species
CCGGAUGCGGAUCUCGAAAGCCUGUCCCAGUUCGGACUGGAGUCUGCAACCCGACUCCACGAAGUUGGAUUCGCUAGUAAUCGCGCAUCAGCCAUGGCGCGGUGAAUACGUUCCCGGGCCUUGUACACACCGCCCGUCAAGCCAUGGGAGCCGGGGGCGCCUGAAGUCCGGGACCGCGAGGACCGGCCUAGGGCGAAACUGGUAACUGGGGCUAAGUCGUAACAAGGUAUC